GGAUUAAACACCACCAGCAAGAGAAUAUGCACCGACGAAGACGCCUAAAUCCAAAGGCUGAUGCCAACUUUUACAUUGAUACUGGAGGGGACAAAGUGGGACUUGACAUCAAAUACAUCAAUGCCUUCAAAGGUCGUGGCAUCUUCACCUCUGCUCUAUUUGAAGGGGGAGAAUUUCUGUUGGAAUAUAGAGGUGAACUAAUAAGCCAGCAAGAAUGUGAACGGAGACAGAGACUUCAUCACGACUGCCUGAAGGUGUUCAUGUUCGAGUUCCUUUUUAAUGGAAAACUAUGGUGUUUUGAUGCAGCAAAAGAGGAUGGGUCGCUUGGAAGACUUGUGAACGAUAAUAAUGUCAACCCCAAUGCCAAGAUGAAGUACCUAAACAUACAAGGGAAGCCCCAUCUGUGUUUGUUUGCAACACGAGACAUCAGUCAAGGAGAGGAGGUCACCUAUAAUUAUGGUGACUCGGAUUGACCGUGGAGAUGCAAGAAAUCUAAAGGAAAGUCUUCGGACGGGGAGCACGGUGAGGGUCCAUCUACAUCCGAGCCUUCUAAGUACUCAAAAGGUUUCAACAAGUAAGAGGCAAGAAAAGAGAUCUCCAGGUGCAU